UUUAAACAAACGAAUGCAUGGAGGUACGA
rnacentral:piRNA from 1 species